UACGGGGGGGGCAAGCGUUGUUCGGAAUCACUGGGCUUAAAGGGCGCGUAGGCGGCUUGCCAAGUCAGGGGUGAAAUCUUUCGGCUUAACCGGAAAAGUGCCUUUGAUACUGGCGAGCUAGAGGGAGGUAGGGGUGUGUGGAACUUCCAGUGGAGCGGUGAAAUGUGUUGAUAUUGGAAGGAACGCCGGUGGCGAAAGCGACACACUGGACCUUGUCUGACGCUGAGGCACGAAAGCCAGGGGAGCAAACGGG
rnacentral:rRNA from 1 species